UCCCCGCCGGUGCCUGCUCAGAUUUAUGGGGCAGUCGGGCGUCAGACUCUCGACCUGAAAGGGAUUUGGGCUUUCUUAGUGGUUAGGGAGGUGGUCAGGGGAGCAAUGGUGGACUCUCUCUAAGCACCUAAUACCCAGUACUGGGCCUCUAGUCUGGCACACCCACCUUAUCCUGGUCUCACACACCUCGGACACUCUGGACAUUACCGACAAAGGCCCGAUCUGGCGCCGAUAGCCGCAGUGUGGAUGGCAGCAGCACCAAGGUUGGAGUCCCCUUACCGACGCCCACACAACCACAUACCACGCUCCGCCGUGCAGACACCCAGGCACAGGACGAGCCAACUGAACAUCUGACCAUGAAGUUUGCCAGGCUGUGGAUUCUCCAGCCCUGCAACCACAGAAAGUCAUUCUCCAUCCAUAUUAAAGCUCAGCCCUCUCCAUCACUGGUGCCCCUGACAACACAGGAAAUGGAUCCCACCCGACGGCAGACUCAGCCUCCUCUCUGUUUAUCACCGCAAUUAUCCCCCAUUCAUUCACAGGCUUAUAAGGUAAACUGCCAUUCAGUGAUGUGAAACCACAGGUCUGGACUGGCAAUUUGAUGUAAUUGUGCCGCUGUGAUCAUCUGUAGUAGGAGCUAGGCACCUCAUUUACUGUGGCAUUCUAUUGGAGGGAGAAAAUUAGAACAAAUGAGUCUUUGAUUUUUGGAGAGGGACAAUGGUGUAGUAUAAUGUGGCUGAGAUCAAACAGAAUGGAGGUAGAUGUAGAAAGGGGCAGCCUGCUGGAUGCAUCGACCAAGCCCAGGGAGGGGAGGGGGGACAUCCUCCCACUACCAUGGCCAUGGGGAGCUGCGGGGACGGCACAGAGCACUGUGAACCCGGUGACAAGGACAUGUUCCCUGGCUGGGCCUGAGAGUGGGUCUGGGUCCCCCCAAAGGACACACACACAGGACCCGUCCAGGACCCCAUCCGCUGGCCUUAACUGACCUUUAACUAAUGGAGGUCUGGCCUCUGAUCAAUGCACUGAGAGACUGGCGGAAACCAUCUUGCCUUUUCUUUCUGAGAGCGGGGAUGGAGGGGGCAAGGGGGACAAAGGGGACAGAAUUGGACGGAGCCAGGAGCCAACAUGGGGCCAUCGACCCUGCCACUCUCCCAUCCUGUGGGUGAUAUCUGUGCCAGCGGGCCUGGGGAUGGUAAUGUCACUCUGCCCUGCCACUGAGGAAGGACGGCCAACCCCUCUGUCUCUGUCUCUAUGCUGUAGGGAGGGAAAGUCAGUGCAGAUCCACUUGUGAAUGUCAGAUUUAUCUAUAAUAAUGGCUAUUAUGGCUUUGUGGUUGAAUGCGAAUCAGCUUUAUCAGUACGGCAAUUAAGAAUCUUAUGAAAAACCAAAUGUUCAUGAGAAGUUUAUGGCCAAUUUUGCAUUGAAAUUUUGCAUUGAAAUUCUCUUUAGUUGUCCUCAUAGGAUAACCCUUUUUGGUUCCAUGUAGAACCCUCUGUGGUUUGGGAUGAGUUGAACCUCAGAGUGUAGGAAUAGCAGCCAACAAGUGCUCAGCAUAUGUGAGAACUCCUUCAAGAUUGUUGGAAAUGCAUUAAAUAAAGAAAAACCCUUGAAUGAGUAGGUGUGUCCAAACUUUUAACUGGUAUUGUACAUGGAACCCCAAAGUGGUUCUAUCUGGAACCAAAGCGGUUCUAUCUGGAACCAAAAAGGGUCCAUGAAAGGGUUCCCCUAUGAGUACAGCCGAAUAAAAAACACUUUACGGUUCUCUGUACGAGCCAGAUGGUUCACUACUGUACCUUUCAUCAUAGUAGCCUCUGAGGCACUUCCCAUAUUAGCAUAGAACAACAAAUGAAUAACAGCCUUUGUAUCGUAAUGAGAUACACACUUCCUUACAAUGAUGCAAAGCAAUUCAUAUGACCAACUGCAGAUAAAUCACAUUCCAUAUGGAGAGGGACAAAAGCUCAGAGAUAGAUUUGGCACGGAUUGCUUUUUUUAUUUUCAUUAUCAUUAACAGCAAUGUGAUACUCAAACCUCCUGUGACCUUUUCAAAGUAUGCUCUAUUCUCAUAAGAGCCACUCAUUAGGACAAGCAGAAGGAAAAGUGCAGAGAGAGAGAGAGAGAGAGAAAGCUUCAAAGUGCACAGAGUACAGUCCAAAAAAUGACAUUAUAAACAUGAUUCUCAUAUUGCUGAUGUGCUUUUAUACGGUGCUCCUCAAUGCACAUUCCUAGAAUUGGAAAUGCAUAAAGAUGCCAUGCGGUCACUGCGGGCCAGCGGUAGGGCAUACUGUCUCUGUGUGAUUACUAUGCAGUUACACUUAGGCCCGCUGACGGUCCGACUGAGGAGGAUACGAGGGAAUCAGAGCGGGGCAUGUCUGGCCUAUGACAGGCUCAACUUGCUAGCAUUUCCUCCUUAUCGGGAGCUGGGGAUGACAAGACUAAUUGAAAAGCUCCUUCGUUUUCUUCCUCACAUAUAAAUGGAUUACAGUCUUUGCCUUCAUGCUUUGGUCCUAUGUUAAAUCAAUGAGAUCUGACACUAGAGUGGAGGGAUAGGUCCACUCCCAAUUCUAUCCCACACACCUGGCCCGAUUCUGCCCAAUUCCAUACUAACAAUCAGCGCCUCAGUCACCAUCUCCCACCCUCCUGUGUCUCUUAUCUAGCAGGCCAAUAAACUCACAAAUCCCAUCAUACUAUAUACUGUACACAUCUUAAAGGGAUACUUUAUGCUAGCAGAUAACCAUAGACUUCCAGUCAUUGUGCUAACGCUAGGUAACAUUGGCUCACGAAACUACCUCGAACAUCCUUCAUACUGGACACAGAGACAUAAAAACAGUAUCCACUAAUUCUUCUGACUCUGGGCAAGUAGAUAAAUGGCCUCUUUGGCAAAAUCCUGAAGUAGACUUUUAAUAUAUUUAUAGGCGUGGUUAUAUGGUAUUGGGGGGCUGACACCCUUGGUCAGGGACUUACGGGGGGUGCAGGGGAGCGAGGAGAGAGAUGCAGAGAGAACCCCGUGGACCCACUGAGUGGCGUGGCAGACUCCCCAGCCUCCUGCUAGGAUUUGUUGGAAUGUGAGAGAGGAGGAUUUCAGCGCCAGGCCAGAGCCAUGCAGACUUCAUGCCAUCUGUCUCCCCCUCCGUCCUCCCUUUGCCAAACUCAUCAGACCUUUUUUUCUCUCCUUUUCAUCCCUUGUUCACAAGACUAGGGGACAUACUGGGAUCUGCUAACGCACUGGAGGAAAGAAUGGAGGGAAGAAAUGAAAGAAGAGCUCAAUAAACAAAUGAAUAUGUAUUCAUGGAGUUGGUGUACUGACAUCCUGUACAAAUAUACAGUAUCUGUGACAGAGAAACUGAGACUUCAUGUUGUUUCAAAGUUUAAUCACCAUAAAACACUUCCAAGAGUCAGUAAAGUCAGUAACGUAAAGUCUAACACUGUAGUAAAGGCAUCAAUGUCAAAAAAUGUGUUUCUUUUAAUAACAAUGACCCAUUCGUAUUUAACUUCCAUUGUCCUUCAAGAAUGGCUGAAUAUUUUCUUGUGGUGUACCUGGGUAGGACUGUGUGGUAGUGGCACACCGUACAUUAUCCUGCAUGAGUUAGUGAAAACAAAAGUCUGUUGUGAUUCCAACUCAUGCAUUGUGUUACGGCAG